rnacentral:rRNA from 1 species
UACAGAGGUCUCAAGCGUUGUUCGGAUUUACUGGGCGUAAAGGGCGCGUAGGCGGCGUGACAAGUCACUUGUGAAAUCUCCGGGCUUAACUCGGAACGGUCAAGUGAUACUGUCGUGCUAGAGUACAGAAGGGGCAACUGGAAUUCUCGGUGUAGCGGUGAAAUGCGUAGAUAUCGAGAGGAACACCUGCGGCGAAGGCGGGUUGCUGGGCUGAUACUGACGCUGAGGCGCGAAAGCUAGGGGAGCGAACGGG